CGCAGUAACCUGACUGUGCUAAGGUAGCAUAAUCAUUUGUUUAAUAAAUUUAAACUAGAAUGAAAGGAAAAAAGUAUAUUAACUGUUAAUUACAAAUUUUUUGAAAUCCUUUUUAAAGUGCAAAAACUUUAAUUAGUAACAUAAACGAGAAGACCCUAAAAAUUUUAAUCUAUUUCGUUGGGACAAUACUAUUAUAUAAUUAUUAUAUGUCAAACAUUAACUAUACUAAUUAAUCAAAUAAAAUUACUUUAGGGAUAACAGCACAAUAACUAUAAAGAGACCUAAUCUAAAUAGUUGCUUGUGACCUCGAUGUUGAAUCAUUUUAACAAAACUUGCAGAAGAGUUUUACCUGUCGUC
rnacentral:rRNA from 1 species